AUGGCGGGCGUGAGCCGGAGCAUGGUGGCGCCGCUGCUGGUGCUGAACCUGGUGAUGUACAUCGUCGUCAUCGGCCUCGCCAGCUGGAACCUCAACCACUUCAUCAACGGCACCACCAACUACGCCGGCGUGGCCGGCAACGGCGCCACCUUCUACUUCCUCCUCUUCGCCAUCCUCGCCGGCGUGGUCGGCGCCGCCUCCAAGCUGGCCGGCGUGCACCACGUCAGGACCUGGCGCGGGGACAGCCUCUCCACCAGCGCCUCCUCGGCCCUCGUCGCCUGGGCCAUCACGGCGCUCGCCUUCGGGCUCGCGUGCAAGGAGAUCCACGUCGGCGGGCACCGCGGCUGGCGGCUCCGGGUGCUCGAGGCCUUCAUCAUCAUACUCGCCUUCACCCAGCUGCUCUACGUCAUGGCGCUCCACGCCGGGCUCUUCGGCAACCAGUUCGGCGACGGGUACGGCGGCGCGGAGCACCAGUAUGGCGACCACCACCAUCACAAGGGCAUGGGCACCGCCGCCGCCACAGCCAGGGUCUGA
rnacentral:rRNA from 1 species